rnacentral:rRNA from 1 species
UACGUAGGGGGCGAGCGUUGUCCGGAAUCAUUGGGCGUAAAGCGCGUGUAGGCGGCUCGGUAAGUCUGCUGUGAAAGUCCAGGGCUCAACCCUGGGAUGCCGGUGGAUACUGUCGAGCUCGAGUCCGGAAGAGGCGAGUGGAAUUCCUGGUGUAGCGGUGAAAUGCGCAGAUAUCAGGAGGAACACCAAUGGCGAAGGCAGCUCGCUGGGACGUGACUGACGCUGAGGUGCGAAAGCGUGGGGAGCAAACAGG